GAUGAACGCUGGCGGCGUGCCUAAUACAUGCAAGUCGAGCGAACAGAUGAGGAGCUUGCUCCUCUGACGUUAGCGGCGGACGGGUGAGUAACACGUGGAUAACCUACCUAUAAGACUGGGAUAACUUCGGGAAACCGGCGCUAAUACCGGAUAAUAUAUUGAACCGCAUGGUUCAAUAGUGAAAGACGGUUUUGCUGUCUCUUAUAGAUGGAUCCGCGCCGCAUUAGCUAGUUGGUAAGGUAACGGCUUACCAAGGGAACGAUGCGUAGCCGACCUGAGAGGGGGAUCGGCCACACGGGAACUGAGCCACGGUCCAGACUCCUACGGGAGGCAGCAGUAGGGAAUCUUCCGCAAUGGGCGAAAACCUGGCGGAGCAACGCCGCGUGAGUGAUGAAGGUCUUCGGAUCGUAAAACUCUGUUAUUAGUGAAGAACAAAUGUGUAAGUAACUAUGCACGUCGUGACGGUACCUAAUCAGAAAGCCACGGCUAACUACGUG
rnacentral:rRNA from 1 species